rnacentral:RNase_P_RNA from 1 species
UGAGUAGGACAAAUGAUCGCAGCUGCGGAUGCCGAAAGGCAGCAGGUGAGGAAAGUCCGGGCUUCAUAGGGCAGGAUGCCGGAUAACGUCCGGUGGAGGCGACUCCAAGGCUAGUGCAACAGAAAUAUACCGCCGGCUUCGGCCGGUAAGGGUGGAAGGGUAGCUUAAGAGACUACCGCCUUCCUGGUAACAGGGAGGGCAUAUGUAAACCCCAUUCGAAGCAAGACCGAAUAAAAAGCGAUACGGCUGCCCGCCGUGCUUUUAGGUGGGUCGCUAGAGCCUGCUGGCAACAGCAGGUGUAGAUAGAUGAUCAUUCACGACAUAACCCGGCUUAUCGUCCUGCUCAUUUG